rnacentral:rRNA from 1 species
GUGGGGAAUUUUGGACAAUGGGCGCAAGCCUGAUCCAGCAAUGCCGCGUGCAGGAAGAAGGCCUUCGGGUUGUAAACUGCUUUUGUACGGAACGAAACGGCUCUGGUUAAUACCCGGGGCUAAUGACGGUACCGUAAGAAUAAGCACCGGCUAACUACGUGCCAGCAGCCGCGGUAAUACGUAGGGUGCAAGCGUUAAUCGGAAUUACUGGGCGUAAAGCGUGCGCAGGCGGUUGUGUAAGACAGGCGUGAAAUCCCCGGGCUCAACCUGGGAAUUGCGCUUGUGACUGCACAGCUGGAGUGCGGCAGAGGGGGAUGGAAUUCCGCGUGUAGCAGUGAAAUGCGUAGAUAUGCGGAGGAACACCGAUGGCGAAGGCAAUCCCCUGGGCCUGCACUGACGCUCAUGCACGAAAGCGUGGGGAGCAAACAGGAUUAGAAACCCUAGUAGUCC